rnacentral:misc_RNA from 1 species
AAAAAAAAAAUGCAUAUAUAUUAUAUAUAUUGAAUUUAAAAAAAAAAUAAAACAGAAAAGAAGCAAGUUAGGAAACAAAAUGAGAAAAAGAAAAACAGAGUAAUCAAUCAUGAUAUCACAUGCUACCAGCUCUUCCAGGAGUAGGUUUUGUUGUCUUGAAUUUAGCAAUGUCAACCAGUUCUCCAAACAGCUUGUCUUCUGGCUUGGAAGGCUUCUUAAGUGGCAGGUAAGAUGAAGUGGGAACCUGGUAAGAUGAGUUUCUCACAAUGCUAUCAUCUCUAACGCUCAGGCCAUACAUUUGCUGCUCAAGAUACGGUGUCCCUUGUUGCGGAGCAUAACCAUAGCCAGCCAUUUGGUUGCCAUACAUAUGUUGAGGAUACAUAGAAGCCAUUUGCCCAUGCAUUGGCUGUGGAAGCAUACCCAUAUACUGCCCUCCCUGGACUACUUGAGGAUGCAAACCUAACUGAUUGCUCUGCAUAGCCGGAUUACUAAAUGCAGACAAAUGGCUGGUUGUGAUGGGUUGAAUGUACAUACCCAC